CGGAACUUAAAGCCAGGGCUCAGACUCCUGUACAGGCAGGGCUGUUCUAUUGAGUUUCAGUUGAUUUCCCAGGACCACAGAUUCUGGGUCAGAGCUGGACUGAGCUGCUCCAGCCUCCUAUCCUGGGCCUCCUCUCUCUUCUACCCUUCAAAUCCCAGGACAGGUCCCAUGCGGGCCUCUCGUCGACAGCCCCAGGCUUCAGCGUCUUGUGUGGAGUCAUCGGUUGGUGAAGCCCAAAGAUCAGAUCACAGGUUCACCUGAUGGAGCCCAAUGAGGAUUCAUAGAGAACAGGACCGGACUUGGGAGUAAACUCCGACAUUCUCCACAUGUCACCCUGUCCUGGAACGAGAAGACACAUAAGACGGUCUGUGGCAGUGAGGCUGGUCACACGGCCAUCCAUGCGGAUGUGAGUACAUAUUGACACACGUAGUACUUGCAGAGGGUGGUCACACUUGGUUUGUACAUAUGUGCAUUCAUCGGGAAUACAGACAUUUGCAUGUCUGGGGGAGUUUUGUUUGUUCGUUUGUUUAGAGACAAGGGGUCUAGAGACAAGGGGUAGUCUAGGCUAGCCUUGCACUACUGAUCCUCUUUACUCCAUAUCCUGAGUACAGGGAUUACAGGCGUGUACCACCACACCCAGCUUGGAGGAGUACAUUUGUAAAUGCACGCACAUGAGAGUGUGUGUGUGUGUGUGUGUGUGUGUGUGUGUGUGUGUGUAUAGCUGAUGCAGGGAGCUCACGUGGGUCUCUGUGUGCCCAUGUGGCUAGGGCAGGCAUACUUGUGGGAAAUAGGAAGUGAUGUCAACUCCUAAGACCUGAC
rnacentral:lncRNA from 1 species